CCUACGGGAGGCAGCAGUGGGGAAUAUUGCUCAAUGGGGGAAACCCUGAAGCAGCAACGCCGCGUGCAGGAUGAAGGUUUUCGGAUUGUAAACUCCUUUUUUUGGUGAAGAUAAUGACGGUAUCUAACGAGUAAGCACCGUCUAACUACGUGCCAGCAGCCGCGGUAAUACGUAGGGAGCAAGCGUUAUCCGGAAUUACUGGGUGUUAAGCGUGCGUAGGCGGUUUAGCAAGUCAGAUGUGAAAAGCGCAGGCUGAACCUGUGGACUGCGUUUGAAACUGUGGGGCUUGAGUGAGGGAGAGGUAGGCGGAAUUCGUGGUGUAGCGGUGAAAUGCGUAGAGAUCGGGAGGAACACCGAUUGCGAAGGCGGCCUGCUGGACCUUAACUGACGCUGAUGCACGAAAGCAUGGGUAGCAAACAGGAUUAGAUACCCGAGUAGUC
rnacentral:rRNA from 1 species